CCUACGGGAGGCAGCAGUGGGGAAUAUUGGACAAUGGGGGGAACCCUGAUCCAGCCAUGCCGCGUGUGUGAAGAAGGCCCUCGGGUUGUAAAGCACUUUCAGUGAGGAAGAACGCCUGGUGGUUAAUACCCAUCAGGAAAGACAUCACUCACAGAAGAAGCACCGGCUAACUCCGUGCCAGCAGCCGCGGUAAUACGGAGGGUGCGAGCGUUAAUCGGAAUUACUGGGCGUAAAGCGCGCGUAGGUGGCUUGAUGAGCCGGUUGUGAAAGCCCCGGGCUCAACCUGGGAACGGCAUCCGGAACUGUCAAGCUAGAGUGCAGGAGAGGAAGGUAGAAUUCCCGGUGUAGCGGUGAAAUGCGUAGAGAUCGGGAGGAAUACCAGUGGCGAAGGCGGCCUUCUGGACUGACACUGACACUGAGGUGCGAAAGCGUGGGUAGCAAACAGGAUUAGAUACCCUGGUAGUC
rnacentral:rRNA from 1 species